rnacentral:rRNA from 1 species
CCACUACUGACGCUGAGAAGCGAAAGCAUGGGGAGCGAACAGGAUUAGAUACCCUGGUAGUCCAUGCCGUAAACGUUGGGCGCUAGGUGUGGGACUCAUUCCACGAGUUCCGUGCCGCAGCUAACGCAUUAAGCGCCCCGCCUGGGGAGUACGGCCGCAAGGCUAAAACUCAAAGGAAUUGACGGGGGCCCGCACAAGCGGCGGAGCAUGCGGAUUAAUUCGAUGCAACGCAAAGAACCUUACCAAGGCUUGACAUAUACCGGAAACACCCAGAGAUGGGUGCCCCUUUUGGUCGGUAUACAGGUGGUGCAUGGUUGUCGUCAGCUCGUGUCGUGAGAUGUUGGGUUAAGUCCCGCAACGAGCGCAACCCUCGUUCUAUGUUGCCAGCACGUAAAGGUGGGGACUCAUAGGAGACUGCCGGGGUCAACUCGGAGGAAGGUGGGGAUGACGUCAAAUCAUCAUGCCCCUUAUGUCUUGGGCUUCACGCAUGCUACAAUGGCCGGUACAAAGGGCUGCGAUACCGCAAGGUGGAGCGAAUCCCAAAAAACCGGUCUCAGUUCGGAUUGGGGUCUGCAAC